rnacentral:rRNA from 1 species
UACGGAGGGGGCUAGCGUUGCUCGGAAUUACUGGGCGUAAAGCGCACGUAGGCGGCUCUGCAAGUUAGAGGUGAAAGCCCGGGGCUCAACUCCGGAAUUGCCUUUAAAACUGCAUCGCUAGAAUUGUGGAGAGGUAAGUGGAAUUCCGAGUGUAGAGGUGAAAUUCGUAGAUAUUCGGAAGAACACCAGUGGCGAAGGCGACUUACUGGACACAUAUUGACGCUGAGGUGCGAAAGCGUGGGGAGCAAACAGG